GGGAGCCUAGGAGGGAGUGGAUGAGGGUGACAGACUGAUGCGGGGAGAGGGAGUCGCAGGGAGAGGGAGGCCGACGCCUGGUAGAGAGUGGCUGCAGGGGUGAAGGAAAGAGUGGAGUGACUUACAGUUUGUGUUUGGUUUUAUAUGCUAGAGUGGUAGUGGGCUGGUUUGGGCUUGCAAAUGUUAGUGGGCUGGGCUAGAUUAUAGAAGGCGGGCUGUAUAAAACAACCACCUCGUUUAAUAAUUUACCAAGGUUGUUACAUUAACCAGGGCGGUUACAUUAUAAUGUCCGCCUCAGUUAAUGGAUUUUCUAAGGCGGUUUCUUCCAACCACCCCGGUUAAUAAAAAUUGACCGCCUAGAUUAAUGUCAGGCAUUAACCGUGGCUGUUCACAUUCCCACCCGUCUCGAAGGAGCUUUUGAAAAGGUCAUGGUAAAUAUUUUUUGUAGUAGUGAUUCAGAGCCAGGCCCAACGAUCAGGUUGCUAUGCAUGACCAGUUAGCGUGUGGGGUCAGUGUGCCGCCGUGUGUGGGAGCGAGAAGUGUGGCUUGCUGCAUGUAUGUGUUAGAGAGACUGGAGAGAACCCAAAGGAUAGUCAUGAACCAUGUAAACCAAAUCAGAACUGCCGCUGACCACAAUCUAUGCCCCAAUUCCUCUGCUCACUACGCCUCUUCAUCUAAUAGAUUACUACAAGACAUGUUAACUGUACGAUAUUCAAUACCUUC
rnacentral:lncRNA from 1 species